rnacentral:rRNA from 1 species
CGGGGGGCAGCAGUAGGGAAUAUUGCGCAAUGGGGGAAACCCUGACGCAGCAACGCCGCGUGAGUGAGGAAGGUCUUCGGAUUGUAAAACUCUUUUAUUUGGGAAAAAUGUCCAUAUGGCUAAUAUCCAUGUGGAGUGAUGGUACCAAAGGAAUAAGGACCGGCUAACUUCGUGCCAGCAGCCGCGGUAAUACGAAGGGUCCAAGCGUUGUUCGGAAUCAUUGGGCGUAAAGCGCGCGCAGGCGGAUCAGCAAGUCAGAUGUGAAAUCUCGGAGCUCAACUUCGAAACUGCGUCUGAAACUGCUAGUCUAGAAUGUCGGAAGGGGCAGGGGAAUUUCACGUGUAGGGGUAAAAUCCGUAGAGAUGUGAAGGAACACCGGAGGCGAAGGCGCCUGCCUGGACGACUAUUGACGCUGAGGCGCGAAAGCGUGGGGAGCAAACAGGAUUAGAUACCCGAGU